rnacentral:misc_RNA from 1 species
GAACGCACAUUGCGCCCUUUGGCAUUCCGAAGGGCAUGCCUGUUCGAGCGUCAUUAUCACCCCUCAAGCUCGGCUUGUUGUUGGACGUCGGUGGUCGUGUAUCGGUCACCCGCCCCAAAGAUAAUGACGGCGUCUGUGAGGACUCCAGUACACUGAGCUUCUUCGGAGCACGUAUUGGCUAGAAGUCCAGACCCGGUCUUACCUAUUAAUUUUUAUAAAGUUGACCUCGGAUCAGGUAGGGAUACCCGCUGAACUUAAG